GUCGAAAGUUCGUUCUCUCCUGAGUGGAUCCUGAGUACGGCGGAACACGUGAAAUUCCGUCGGAAUCCGGGAGGACCAUCUCCCAAGGCUAAAUACUACCUAGUGACCGAUAGUGAACCAGUACCGGGAGGGAAAGGUGAAAAGCACCCCGGAAGGGGAGUGAAAGAGAUCCUGAAACCGUGUGCCUACAAGUAGUUAGAGCCCGUUAAUGGGUGAUAGCGUGCCUUUUGUAGAAUGAACCGGCGAGUUACGAUUACGUGCGAGGUUAAGCUUUAGAAGGCGGAGCCGCAGCGAAAGCGAGUCUGAAUAGGGCGAAUUAG
rnacentral:rRNA from 1 species